GUGAUUUUCAUGAAUGGCCCAAUUUGUCAUUUAUAAGACAGUGGCUAUUGGCUUGAAAUGGAAAUGACCUCACAUAGAGAGCCUUCCAGCGUAUUAUAAUGAAACAUAAAAAUGCAAUGAUUACUGCUUCAUUGUAACGUCUGUAGAACUCAGAAUUAAGUCUCUGUUUGUAGUUGAGCAAACCUUCCCCAGGUCAGUGUAGCUGACAGACAUGUCUUAUUAAGUAGCUGUCAUGUACUGUAUUUUUCACACCUUAAGGGAUAGCUUAAGUCUCACAAGAAGUGAAUGAAAGAAGAUAGGGCACUUUUUUUGCCAAAGGAGCAACACAGGAAGGUCACAUUCAGAGCUGGUUUAUUAAGAAAACAUGCGGAUCAGUC